GUCCUUUUGAUUUUAAUUUAAGGUCUAGUCUGCCCAUUGAGAAUUUAAAAGGCCGCGGUAUUUUGACCGUGCAAAGGUAGCAUAAUCAUUAGUUUUUUAAUUAAAAGCUGGAAUGAAGGGCUGGAUAAAAAAAUUUCUGUCUUAAAGUUAAUCAAAUGAAUUUUAUUUUUAAGUAAAAAAGCUUAAAUAAAUUUAAAAGACGAGAAGACCCUAUAGAGUUUUAUAAUUUUAAAUUAUUUAUUUUUAGAAAUAUAAAUUUUUAUUUAAAAAAUUAUUUAGUUGGGGUGAUUGAAAAAUUUAAAUAACUUUUUUUAAUUUGGCCAUUAUUAAAUGAAUUGAUGAUCUUAUAUUUUUGAUUAAAAGAUUAAAUUACCUUAGGGAUAACAGCGUAAUUUUUUUUUAAAGUUCAAAUUAAAAAAAAAGAUUGCGACCUCGAUGUUGGAUUAAAAUUAAUUUUUAGUGCAGAAGCUAAAAUAUUAGGUCUGUUCGACCUUUAAAAUUUUACAUGA
rnacentral:rRNA from 1 species